GUGGGUGUAGCUCAGUGGUAGAGUGCAUGCUUAGCGUGCACAAGGUCCUGGGUUCAAUCCCCAGUCCCUCCA
rnacentral:tRNA from 1 species